rnacentral:rRNA from 1 species
UACGUAGGUGGCUAGCGUUACUCGGAAUCACUGGGCAUAAAGGGCGUGUAGGCGGACGUAUAAGUCCGAUGUGAAAUCCCCCGGCUCAACCGGGGAAGGUCAUUGGAUACUGUACGUCUUGAGUGCGGGAGGGGAGAAUGGAACUCUUGGUGGAGCGGUGAAAUGCGUAGAUAUCAAGAGGAACGCCGGUGGCGAAAGCGGUUCUCUGGCCCGUAACUGACGCUGAGGCGCGAAAGCUAGGGGAG